rnacentral:lncRNA from 1 species
UCUGGGCAGAAGGGCUUCCUCUGCGGCGAGUGUGGCCGGGCCUUCCGCAUUGCCUCGGAGCUGGCCCCGUACAUUCGCGUGCACAACGGCGGCGAGUGGCCUUAUCAGUGUGGGGACUGCGGCCAGGCCUUUACCCGCUCCAACCACCUCCAACGACACCGAGCCAAGCACUGCAGCUGCAAGAAGGAGCCCAUCCCCUCCUGCGCUGAUGAAUGCAAAUACUGAGAAGGCAUUGGACCUGGACCUCUCUCUAAAGAAAGCACUUCUGAUCGUACCAAAAUUAAAGAAGUUAUUCUGCAAAAAGGUACUGUAUUCUCCUUUUGAGAAUAUCUAUAGUAUAUUUCUUAAAUUGUGACCAAAGUCUGCCAAAUCUGAAGUUCUCUUGGUUUCCUCUUGGUUUGGACUCAGGGAGUGACUGCUAUUGGCCAAAUAGGAAUGAUAAUAAUGGAAUCACAAAAGUGAGCACAAUCCUACCACACAUAGAACUUCAAAUGCAAAAGCAUUAGAUUGAUAGAGAAGUUCUGACCAUCAGCCGUAACCUUGUGACUAUGCAGAGAGUAAAGGCUAGUAUAUUUUUUUCUGGGUAAUCAGUGAAAUGUUUGAAAACUCUAAUUAAUAUUCCUUUUACCCUUGUGUUCUCUUAAGAUGGUAUUUAGUACAGUUUUUCCUAGUUACAAAAUUUGGUUGGGCUAUCGUUUCUUAAGUCGGUUGUUCCCCAAACCAGUUCAUAAAUGGCUAUAUGGACAUCACCUGGAUGGAGUUCCCACUGUGGCCCAUCUAGUUAAGAACCCGAUAUGAUGUCAUGAGGCUGCCGGUUUGAUCUUUGGCCUCGUUCAGUGGGUUAAGGAUCUGGCUUUGCCACAAGCUGCAGCAUAGGUUACAGAGGUGGCUCAGAUCUGGCAUUGCUGUACCCAUGGCAUAGGUGGGCAGCUGCAGCUCCGAUUUCACUCCUAGCCUGGAAACUUCCAUAUGCUACACAUGUGGCCAUUAAAAAAUAAAGUUAAAAAAGAAAUCACCUGGAUGUUUGUUCGCCACAAACUCCUGAAUCUUCACCUUGAAUAUUGAUACAGCUCUGCAGUGCAUCUUGGAAUCUAAUUUUUAAAGCUUCCUUAUGUGUUCUUUCUUUCUUUCUUUUUUUUUUUUUUUGCUUUUUUAGAGCCGCACCUGCGGCAUGUG